UAGAAGUUAUGAGUCAAGGCUGACAAUGUUUUUAAUUUGUGAACAUGUUUUAAUUUGUUUAAUUCACAGGUAUUUUAAGCCACCUGUCGUCCAUACCUUGUAAGCUGAAUAGCCUGUUGUGCUAAAGUUCACCACAGAGAAGGCAGUGGUUGUUAAUGUUAGAGCUAUGCAAGUUUAGUAGUUUGUGUGCCUUUUGAUAACAAGAUUCACACUGCAGUGGGCCUAAACAUCUGAUCCAUAAACGAGGUGGAGUCAGAGCUGGGUUGACUACUUACUGCAUUGUUUGAGAUUUGUUACAGGUGGAUGGGCCCCUGUGAAUGUGUUUGCCAACUGCUAAGGUCUGCUAAGGGUGUGGCUGUUUUCCCUCUUUUGGCUGUACGAUUUCCCUCAGCUUGUUAGCCAUUUCUACCCCUUUUAGUGUUUUGCCAGACGGACAGGGUGGUGGAUUGUAGGAACCCCUUUCCCCUUCACUGCAUGUGGUGGUGGGUAUGACAGCUGUGUGCGCAUGCUUAACUUAGUUUUAUUGUGUGGUGUUUGUGUGUCUUGCUGUGUUUAGGUGGCUGCGCACCAGUGUGAGUGGUGGUGUCAAGGCACCUGGGUGGCCCCCCUGCAGGUCUGGCUCCUGUAGAUGCUGAGGUGGUUUUUAACCGUGUGCUUUUAUCCCUUAGCAUUUCUGACAGUAUUGGCAUCUACAUCUUAUUUGUUAUUGUUUGCGCUUGUGCAUCGAAUAAAAUUGCCCAAAGCCUGA